UACGUAGGGGGCUAGCGUUAUCCGGAAUUACUGGGGUAAAGGGUGCGUAGGUGGUUUCUUAAGUCAGAGGUGAAAGGCUACGGCUCAACCGUAGUAAGCCUUUGAAACUGGGAAACUUGAGUGCAGGAGAGGAGAGUGGAAUUCCUAGUGUAGCGGUGAAAUGCGUAGAUACUGGUAGGAACACCCAUUGCGAAGGCAGCUCGCUGGACAACACGUGACACUGAGGCGCGAAAGUGUGGGGAGCAAACCGGAUUAGAUACCCCGGUAGUCCCUGAGCGGG
rnacentral:rRNA from 1 species